GCCGAAAUCCCGACAUUUCCCCGCUGGGGGAACGCCGGGAGCGUUUCUUUGUGGGGUUUCUUUGUUCGGGUUCCCCCUCCCCGCCUGCCCCACGGCCCCGAGAGGAGCAAAUCAGCGGCGUUUGCAUAUUCAGAGCAGGGUGUUUCCAGAACAUUCCACGGCCCCGUGGCCCCGCCCUGCACGGAGAGCAAACGCUGGAAAAGGAGCUCUGGUUUUCCAGCUUUUCCUGAAAAAUCCCGGGGUUUUGGCAUCGCAUCCUCACCCCCGGCUCUUCCCAUGGUGACCGGAGUGGACACCGUGGGCUCCAGGGCAGCGAGAGAUCCCGGGAUCCCGGAAUUCCCAGCCAGGGGGAGGGAUUGAUCCGUCCUGUCCCAAAUCAGCAGCUCAGAGGGUCCCACCUGGGCCAGGUGACAGCGAGGUGACAUCGCAGAGCCACCGAGAGGAAGAAAUUCCGGAGCAUUAAAAAGUGUUGGAAUCUCCCAGCCCGGUGUUCAAAUGGAAUUUUGUCCCUUUUUCUUGCAGGAUCUCCCCAAACCUGUGAAAUUCCGUGUUUGGGGGUGUUUCCUUCCCCAAAAAAUGGAGUUUUCCUCUCC
ensembl:lncRNA